rnacentral:precursor_RNA from 14 species
UUGACAUUGGAAGAAAUGGCUGCUGCCUGGUUCAAGUAAUCCAGGAUAGGCUGUUUCCUCAAAGCACGGCCUACUCUUGAUUACUUGUUUCAGGAAGUAGCUCAUGUUACAUCAGCGUCCU